rnacentral:rRNA from 1 species
AGCGGACAGAAGGGAGCUUGCUCCCGGAUGUUAGCGGCGGACGGGUGAGUAACACGUGGGUAACCUGCCUGUAAGACUGGGAUAACUCCGGGAAACCGGAGCUAAUACCGGAUAGUUCCUUGAACCGCAUGGUUCAAGGAUGAAAGACGGUUUCGGCUGUCACUUACAGAUGGACCCGCGGCGCAUUAGCUAGUUGGUGAGGUAACGGCUCACCAAGGCGACGAUGCGUAGCCGACCUGAGAGGGUGAUCGGCCACACUGGGACUGAGACACGGCCCAGACUCCUACGGGAGGCAGCAGUAGGGAAUCUUCCGCAAUGGACGAAAGUCUGACGGAGCAACGCCGCGUGAGUGAUGAAGGUUUUCGGAUCGUAAAGCUCUGUUGUUAGGGAAGAACAAGUGCAAGAGUAACUGCUUGCACCUUGACGGUACCUAACCAGAAAGCCACGGCUAACUACGUGCCAGCAGCCGCGGUAAUACGUAGGUGGCAAGCGUUGUCCGGAAUUAUUGGGCGUAAAGGGCUCGCAGGCGGUUUCUUAAGUCUGAUGUGAAAGCCCCCGGCUCAACCGGGGAGGGUCAUUGGAAACUGGGAAACUUGAGUGCAGAAGAGGAGAGUGGAAUUCCACGUGUAGCGGUGAAAUGCGUAGAGAUGUGGAGGAACACCAGUGGCGAAGGCGACUCUCUGGUCUGUAACUGACGCUGAGGAGCGAAAGCGUGGGGAGCGAACAGGAUUAGAUACCCUGGUAGUCCACGCCGUAAACGAUGAGUGCUAAUUUUUAGGGGGGUUUCCGCCCCUUAGUGCUGCAGCUAACGCAUUAAGCACUCCGCCUGGGGGAGUACGGUCGCAAGACUGAAACUCAAAGGAAUUGACGGGGGCCCGCACAAGCGGUGGAAGCAUGUGGUUUAAUUCGAAGCAACGCGAAGAACCUUACCAGGUCUUGACAUCCUCUGACAACCCUAAGAGAUAGGGCUUUCCCUUCGGGGACAGAGUGACAGGUGGUGCAUGGUUGUCGUCAGCUCGUGUCGUGAGAUGUUGGGUUAAGUCCCGCAACGAGCGCAACCCUUGAUCUUAGUUGCCAGCAUUCAGUUGGGCACUCUAAGGUGACUGCCGGUGACAAACCGGAGGAAGGUGGGGAUGACGUCAAAUCAUCAUGCCCCUUAUGACCUGGGCUACACACGUGCUACAAUGGACAGAACAAAGGGCUGCGAGACCGCAAGGUUUAGCCAAUCCCACAAAUCUGUUCUCAGUUCGGAUCGCAGUCUGCAACUCGACUGCGUGAAGCUGGAAUCGCUAGUAAUCGCGGAUCAGCAUGCCGCGGUGAAUACGUUCCCGGGCCUUGUACACACCGCCCGUCACACCACGAGAGUUUGCAACACCCGAAGUCGGUGAGGUAACCUUUAUGGAGCCAGCCGCCGAAGGUGGGGCAGAUGAU